UGGGGAAUAUUGCACAAUGGGCGCAAGCCUGAUGCAGCGACGCCGCGUGGGGGAUGACGGCCUUCGGGUUGUAAACUCCUUUCGCUACCGACGAAGCCCCUUUGUGGUGACGGUAGGUGGAGAAGAAGCCCCGGCUAACUACGUGCCAGCAGCCGCGGUAAUACGUAGGGGGCGAGCGUUAUCCGGAUUCAUUGGGCGUAAAGCGCGCGUAGGCGGCCAGUUAGGUCGGGAGUCAAAUUUCGGGGCUCAACCCCGUCUCGCUCCCGAUACCGGCUGGCUUGAGUGUGGUAGGGGAAGGCGGAAUUCCCGGUGUAGCGGUGGAAUGCGCAGAUAUCGGGAAGAACACCGGUGGCGAAGGCGGCCUUCUGGGCCAUCACUGACGCUGAGGCGCGAAAGCUAGGGGAGCAAACAGGAUUAGAUACC
rnacentral:rRNA from 1 species